CUGGCUCAGGAUGAACGCUGGCGGCGUGCCUAACACAUGCAAGUCGAACGGAGUAAUUAAGCGGAAGUUUCGGAUGGAAGCAUAGUUACUUAGUGGCGGACGGGUGAGUAACGCGUGGGCAACCUGCCCUGUACCGGGGGAUAACACUUAGAAAUAGGUGCUAAUACCGCAUAAGCGCACAGCUUCGCAUGAAGGUGUGUGAAAAACUCCGGUGGUACAGGAUGGACCCGCGUCUGAUUAGCUAGUUGGUGGGGUAGAGGCCUACCAAGGCGACGAUCAGUAGCCGGCCUGAGAGGGUGACCGGCCACAUUGGGACUGAGACACGGCCCAAACUCCUACGGGAGGCAGCAGUGGGGAAUAUUGCACAAUGGGGGAAACCCUGAUGCAGCGACGCCGCGUGAGUGAAGAAGUAUUUCGGUAUGUAAAGCUCUAUCAGCAGGGAAGAAAAUGACGGUACCUGACUAAGAAGCCCCGGCUAACUACGUGCCAGCCGCGGC
rnacentral:rRNA from 1 species